rnacentral:rRNA from 1 species
CAUGUGUAGCGGUGAAAUGCGUAGAUAUAUGGAGGAACACCAGUGGCGAAAGCGGCUCUCUGGUCUGUCACUGACGCUGAGGCUCGAAAGCGUGGGUAGCGAACAGGAUUAGAUACCCUGGUAGUNCACGCCGUAAACGAUGAGUGCUAGGUGUUAGGCCCUUUCCGGGGCUUAGUGCCGGAGCUAACGCAAUAAGCACUCCGCCUGGGGAGUACGACCACAAGGUUGAAACUCAAAGGAAUUGACGGGGGCCCGCACAAGCGGUGGAGCAUGUGGUUUAAUUCGAAGCAACGCAAAGAACCUUACCAGGUCUUGACAUCCCGAUGCUAUUCUUAGAGAUAGGAAGUUACUUCGGUACAUCGGAGACAGGUGGUGCAUGGUUGUCGUCAGCUCGUGUCGUGAGAUGUUGGGUUAAGUCCCGCAACGAGCGCAACCCUUAUUGUUAGUUGCCAUCAUUAAGUUGGGCACUCUAGCGAGACUGCCGGUAAUAAACCGGAGGAAGGUGGGGAUGACGUCAAAUCAUCAUGCCCCUUAUGACCUGGGCUACACACGUGCUACAAUGGUCGGUACAACGAGUUGCGAGCCGGUGACGGCAAGCUAAUCUCUGAAAGCCGAUCUCAGUUCGGAUUGGAGGCUGCAACUCGCCUCCAUGAAGUCGGAAUCGCUAGUAAUCGCGGAUCAGCACGCCGCGGUGAAUACGUUCCCGGGCCUUGUACACACCGCCCGUCACACCACGAGAGUUUGUAACACCCGAAGUCGG